GAUGAACGCUAGCUACAGGCUUAACACAUGCAAGUCGAGGGGAAACGACAUCGAAAGCUUGCUUUUGAUGGGCGUCGACCGGCGCACGGGUGAGUAACGCGUAUCCAACCCGCCCAUCACUUGGGAAUAACCUUGCGAAAGUAAGACUAAUACCCAAUGAUAUCCCACGAAGGCAUCGGAAUGGGAUUAAAGAUUUAUCGGUGAUGGAUGGGGAUGCGUCUGAUUAGCUUGUUGGCGGGGUAACGGCCCACCAAGGCAACGAUCAGUAGGGGUUCUGAGAGGAAGGUCCCCCACAUUGGAACUGAGACACGGUCCAAACUCCUACGGGAGGCAGCAGUGAGGAAUAUUGGUCAAUGGGCGAGAGCCUGAACCAGCCAAGUAGCGUGCAGGAAGACGGCCCUAUGGGUUGUAAACUGCUUUUAUAAGGGAAUAAAGUGGGUCACGUGUGACUUUUUGCAUGUACCUUAUGAAUAAGGACCGGCUAAUUCCGUG
rnacentral:rRNA from 1 species